UAGGGAAUCUUCGGCAAUGGACGAAAGUCUGACCGAGCAACGCCGCGUGAGUGAAGAAGGUUUUCGGAUCGUAAAACUCUGUUGUUAGAGAAGAACAAGGACGUUAGUAACUGAACGUCCCCUGACGGUAUCUAACCAGAAAGCCACGGCUAACUACGUGCCAGCAGCCGCGGUAAUACGUAGGUGGCAAGCGUUGUCCGGAUUUAUUGGGCGUAAAGCGAGCGCAGGCGGUUUCUUAAGUCUGAUGUGAAAGCCCCCGGCUCAACCGGGGAGGGGCAUUGGAAACUGGGAGACUUGAGUGCAGAAGAGGAGAGUGGAAUUCCAUGUGUAGCGGUGAAAUGCGUAGAGAUAUGGAGGAACACCAGUGGCGAAGGCGGCUCUCUGGUCUGUAACUGACGCUGAGGCUCGAAAGCGUGGGGAGCAAACAGG
rnacentral:rRNA from 1 species